rnacentral:rRNA from 1 species
GACGAACGCUGGCGGCGUGCCUAAUACAUGCAAGUUGAGCGCUGAAGGUUGGUACUUGUACCGACUGGAUGAGCAGCGAACGGGUGAGUAACGCGUGGGGAAUCUGCCUUUGAGCGGGGGACAACAUUUGGAAACGAAUGCUAAUACCGCAUAAAAACUUUAAACACAAGUUUUAAGUUUGAAAGAUGCAAUUGCAUCACUCAAAGAUGAUCCCGCGUUGUAUUAGCUAGUUGGUGAGGUAAAGGCUCACCAAGGCGAUGAUACAUAGCCGACCUGAGAGGGUGAUCGGCCACAUUGGGACUGGGACACGGCCCAAACUCCUACGGGAGGCAGCAGUAGGGAAUCUUCGGCAAUGGACGAAAGUCUGAACGAGCAACGCCGCGUGAGUGAAGAAGGUUUUCGGAUCGUAAAACUCUGUUGGUAGAGAAGAACGUUGGUGAGAGUGGAAAGCUCAUCAAGUGACGGUAACUACCCAGAAAGGGACGGCUAACUACGUG